AUGGGGGGCUCUCUGGGCGCUAUGGGGGUGUCUCUGGGUGCUAUGGGGGGGUCUCAGUCCCCCCGCGCCCCCCCAGGCUGUUGGGUGCCCUGUAAGUGGCCGUGGGCGGCGCUGCAGCAGCUCUGCCGGGAUCAGCGCCUCUGGUGCCGCGCUCUCGGGGUGUCGCGGCGCAGCCACGGCCGCUUCGAGGUGGAAUAUCUGUGCGACUAUAGGCGCGUCAGGGACGAAGAGUUCUACUUGGUGAAGUGGUGCGGUUACCCGUCCUCGUCCAACACUUGGGAACCGCGCAAGAACCUGCAUUGCCGAGGUCUCCUCAAGCAGCUCCACCAAGACCUGGAGCGGGUGCCGGGAGGUCCAGCGCGUCCUGGUCCUCGGGGUCUCCCCGCCCGAGCCACGUCCUACUUGGUCCAAAAAGCCAAACAACGUCAAGCCUUACGGCGUUGGGAACGUCUCCUGAACAACACCCGGAGCCACCGGGGCCGCAUCAUGGUGGAGAACGAGGUGGACCUCCACGGGCCACCUUCGGACUUCGUUUACAUUAACGAGUACAAGGUGGGCGCCGGCGUCAACUUGGUGCCGGUGGCGGUGGGAUGCGAGUGCGGCGAUUGCUUGGCCAACGCGGUUGGCGGUUGUUGUCCCGGCGCCUCCAGCAAUAAGUUUGCCUACAACGAAGCGGGGCAGGUGUGCAUCCGCGCCGGGUUACCGAUCUACGAGUGCAACUCGCGGUGCCGCUGCGGCGCUGAUUGUCCUAACCGAGUGGUGCAAAAAGGGAUCCGUUACGACCUCUGCAUCUUCCGAACCGGAGACGGGCGCGGGUGGGGCGUCCGCACCCUCCAACGCAUCCGCAAGAACAGCUUCGUCAUGGAGUACGUGGGGGAGAUGAUCUUAUCCAUUGCGUUGAGAUGGGCUGGAGUUGUCCAAGGGCCACGUUGGACAAGACUUGAAGCAUUGCAGGUGGGUCUGGACGGGCUUGGGGGUCUCCUCCGAGCCAAGCGUUGGUGGUUGUCCCCAGAUCAUCACGUCAGAGGAGGCCGAGCGCCGGGGCCAAGUCUACGACCGGCAAGGGGCCACCUACCUCUUCGACCUGGACUAUGUGGAGGAUGUUUACACCGUCGAUGCUGCCCACUAUGGCAACAUCUCCCACUUCGUCAACCACAGCUGCGACCCCAACCUGCAGGUCUACAACGUCUUUAUCGAGAGUCUGGAUGAGCGUCUGCCGCGCAUCGCGCUCUUCGCCACCCGCCCCAUCCGCGCCGGCGAGGAGCUCACCUUCGACUACAACAUGCGCGUGGACCCGGUGGACGCCGAGAGCACCCGCAUGGACUCCAACUUCGCACUGUCGGGGGCCCCUCACAGCUCCCCCCGUGCUCGGCGCCGCAUUGAGUGCAAAUGUGGGGCGGCCGUGUGCCGCAAGUUCCUCUUCUGACAAC